CAAUGCCACACAGGUUCAUAUACCUUCCUCUCUUUCCGCUUAUCUUCUCCUAGCUCUUUCACCAAACCUUUACUCUAUUUUCAUGGUAGGGACUAACAGCUAAACGCAUCUAUUUCUCCGUAAUCCCCUUUAAGAGUGGUGCACAAUUUAUUUCUGUGAAGCCAUUUGUAGCAGACAAUAAGCGCUAACUGGCUAGACUGUGUUGCUCCAUUGCUCUCCCAACCCACGAAACCUCCACUACUAUUGCACAGGUGUUUGUGUGCGUGCCCUGACCUUGGGAGCAAUGCAUGAGUUUGUCUUCAUGAGGCCUUGAGACAUGGCAUUUGUGGCAUUUAACCCCCUCAUCACUCUGUGACCCCCAUUCACCCCCUCCCUCUGCUUUGGACUGUCAUUCGCUUCCCACCCUCCUUCCUCCCUUUGCUCCUCUCGCUCACGUUCUACCCUUGCUGCAUAUUCAUCCUCUUCCACCUUCCUUGUUAAAUCUCCUUCUGUCACUGACAUUAGCCCUUUAACCUGGCAGGCAAACAGCCAUGGUCCAGGUGUGUUUGUGUGUGCUGGGCGUAACCAGACAGUCACAAAAUGUACCCCCUCCUCCCAAACACUUGGAUGGCUUUGAGAGGGUAGCGAGCGCUUGACAAGCGAAUUAAAAUGAGAAGAACGGUAGACCAGAGUUUUACGUCAUGAACACAAACAAUAAUUUUGCAGAUGUGAUGAAGUGACUUUCGACUGAUGUUUCCCGAAAGCGGCAACACGUGUCCCUCUUACCCGGCUGGUGCAGUCCUCUCGUCUACAGAUGUGUCGCUUGAUGUACCCUUCGGAUGGCACACUGCCACUUAAUAAAAUAUCAAUCCUGCUUUGACAGGGAAGCCUUAAUUGAGUCCCUCGUCAGUUUUAUCAAACUGUGUGUUUUUUGUCGUUUGAAACUUUCCUCCUCUAUAUCCCCUUCAGUCUCUCUCUUGCUCUUAUGGAAUAUGCUAGUAGUUGAAUUCCUCUGUAACGAAAAGAGACGGAGGGCGGUGCUGGGAAAGAAGAACAAAGUGAAAGAAAGAAAACACUGGAACGGAAAGAAAAAAUAAGAACAAGCGCAAAAGUGGGAGAGAGCAGGAGAAAAUCGCCCAAGAGAGACGGUGCGAAGAAAAAACCCUUUGGAGGCUAUUUCGUCAUUGGAUUCAUAAUUCAGGUUCAUGAUUUUAAUUUCCCUCUGUUCUUAUCAAAGGCCGGUGGAGCAGCAGGGGGAAGGCUGGUAGUUAGCUGGGUAACUGCAUAUGAGAUGAGCUGCAGCGCUCCGUCACAACGCCUGGACGACAUAAUAGGGAUGUAAAUUUGCUCAGAACAACAUUCACUCACAACAAAUUCCUCUCCCAAACAAAACCCCGCAUUCAUGUGUUGUUUGCGAGACCUUUUUCUUUGACAUCAUCUACAUUUUCCCUCAGAAGCCAUAAGAAAUCUCUGGCCCUCCAAAGUAUAUUAAAUCACACAGAAAGACGAAAUGCUUGUUUAAAGACCUACGAAAAAGCUUGCAGAUGAAUAAUGAAUUUCCAUUGUGUGUGACUGCAGUCUUUUGAUAACAUUCUCUUGUAUGUCUAUAAUAAAAAUGU
ensembl:lncRNA